rnacentral:rRNA from 1 species
ACAGAGGGUGCGAGCGUUAAUCGGAAUUACUGGGCGUAAAGCGCACGUAGUCGGCUUUGCAAGUCGGGUGUGAAAGCCCCGGGCUCAACCUGGGAAUGGCGGUGGAUACUGGCGGACUAGAGUGCGGUAGAGGGUGGUGGAAUUCCCGGUGUAGCAGUGAAAUGCGUAGAUAUCGGGAGGAACACCAGUGGCGAAGGCGGCUCACUGGCCCGGUACUGACGCUGAGGUGCGAAAGCGUGGGGAGCAAACAGGA